rnacentral:rRNA from 1 species
AGAGUUUGAUCAUGGCUCAGGACGAACGCUGGCGGCGUGCCUAAUACAUGCAAGUCGAACGAACUCUGGUAUUGAUUGGUGCUUGCAUCAUGAUUUACAUUUGAGUGAGUGGCGAACUGGUGAGUAACACGUGGGAAACCUGCCCAGAAGCGGGGGAUAACACCUGGAAACAGAUGCUAAUACCGCAUAACAACUUGGACCGCAUGGUCCGAGCUUGAAAGAUGGCUUCGGCUAUCACUUUUGGAUGGUCCCGCGGCGUAUUAGCUAGAUGGUGAGGUAACGGCUCACCAUGGCAAUGAUACGUAGCCGACCUGAGAGGGUAAUCGGCCACAUUGGGACUGAGACACGGCCCAAACUCCUACGGGAGGCAGCAGUAGGGAAUCUUCCACAAUGGACGAAAGUCUGAUGGAGCAACGCCGCGUGAGUGAAGAAGGGUUUCGGCUCGUAAAACUCUGUUGUUAAAGAAGAACAUAUCUGAGAGUAACUGUUCAGGUAUUGACGGUAUUUAACCAGAAAGCCACGGCUAACUACGUGCCAGCAGCCGCGGUAAUACGUAGGUGGCAAGCGUUGUCCGGAUUUAUUGGGCGUAAAGCGAGCGCAGGCGGUUUUUUAAGUCUGAUGUGAAAGCCUUCGGCUCAACCGAAGAAGUGCAUCGGAAACUGGGAAACUUGAGUGCAGAAGAGGACAGUGGAACUCCAUGUGUAGCGGUGAAAUGCGUAGAUAUAUGGAAGAACACCAGUGGCGAAGGCGGCUGUCUGGUCUGUAACUGACGCUGAGGCUCGAAAGUAUGGGUAGCAAACAGGAUUAGAUACCCUGGUAGUCCAUACCGUAAACGAUGAAUGCUAAGUGUUGGAGGGUUUCCGCCCUUCAGUGCUGCAGCUAACGCAUUAAGCAUUCCGCCUGGGGAGUACGGCCGCAAGGCUGAAACUCAAAGGAAUUGACGGGGGCCCGCACAAGCGGUGGAGCAUGUGGUUUAAUUCGAAGCUACGCGAAGAACCUUACCAGGUCUUGACAUACUAUGCAAAUCUAAGAGAUUAGACGUUCCCUUCGGGGACAUGGAUACAGGUGGUGCAUGGUUGUCGUCAGCUCGUGUCGUGAGAUGUUGGGUUAAGUCCCGCAACGAGCGCAACCCUUAUUAUCAGUUGCCAGCAUUAAGUUGGGCACUCUGGUGAGACUGCCGGUGACAAACCGGAGGAAGGUGGGGAUGACGUCAAAUCAUCAUGCCCCUUAUGACCUGGGCUACACACGUGCUACAAUGGAUGGUACAACGAGUUGCGAACUCGCGAGAGUAAGCUAAUCUCUUAAAGCCAUUCUCAGUUCGGAUUGUAGGCUGCAACUCGCCUACAUGAAGUCGGAAUCGCUAGUAAUCGCGGAUCAGCAUGCCGCGGUGAAUACGUUCCCGGGCCUUGUACACACCGCCCGUCACACCAUGAGAGUUUGUAACACCCAAAGUCGGUGGGGUAACCUUUUAGGAACCAGCCGCCUAAGGUGGGACAGAUGAUUAGGGUGAAGUCGUAACAAGGUAGCCGUAGGAGAACCUGCGGUUGGAUCAC